GGGUGCCCUAAUACUGGCAAGUCGAGCGGACAGAUGGGAGCUUGCUCCCUGAUGUUAGCGGCGGACGGGUGAGUAACACGUGGGUAACCUGCCUGUAAGACUGGGAUAACUCCGGGAAACCGGGGCUAAUACCGGAUGGUUGUCUGAACCGCAUGGUUCAGACAUAAAAGGUGGCUUCGGCUACCACUUACAGAUGGACCCGCGGCGCAUUAGCUAGUUGGUGAGGUAACGGCUCACCAAGGCGACGAUGCGUAGCCGACCUGAGAGGGUGAUCGGCCACACUGGGACUGAGACACGGCCCAGACUCCUACGGGAGGCAGCAGUAGGGAAUCUUCCGCAAUGGACGAAAGUCUGACGGAGCAACGCCGCGUGAGUGAUGAAGGUUUUCGGAUCGUAAAGCUCUGUUGUUAGGGAAGAACAAGUGCCGUUCAAAUAGGGCGGCACCUUGACGGUACCUAACCAGAAAGCCACGGCUAACUACGUGCCAGCAGCCGCGGUAAUACGUAGGUGGCAAGCGUUGUCCGGAAUUAUUGGGCGUAAAGGGCUCGCAGGCGGUUUCUUAAGUCUGAUGUGAAAGCCCCCGGCUCAACCGGGGAGGGUCAUUGGAAACUGGGGAACUUGAGUGCAGAAGAGGAGAGUGGAAUUCCACGUGUAGCGGUGAAAUGCGUAGAGAUGUGGAGGAACACCAGUGGCGAAGGCGACUCUCUGGUCUGUAACUGACGCUGAGGAGCGAAAGCGUGGGGAGCGAACAGGAUUAGAUACCCUUGGUAGUCCA
rnacentral:rRNA from 1 species